CAACGAUGUGUGCGUCACUGUCGUUCCUCCAGAGCGCUUUCGCUUCUUCGCAACAGCUUCCUCUCCUUCCUAAGUUUGCGGCUGCAAAGCCACUCCUCCCUUCAUUCCCAAUUAUUGAAGCUAAAGCCAAAACCAGAAGAGAAGACAGAACUGCUCGUCACGUUCGAAUUAGAAAGAAGGUAUUCUUCUCUUGAUUUUUCCUUGCUCUUGGGUCUAACCCCAGCUCCCCUUAUUUCAAUUAUAUUCUCUGCCGUAUUCGGGUGAGAUAGUGGAUACAACUGCCUCGUAUUUGUUGUUAAAUGUUCCUCACCCACACCCAUCCUCUGUCGGAAAAGAGUUGUUUCCAAUUUCUGUAUUCUCAUACAUGCCACAUUCUCUACCAUCUUUAUACCCAAUAAUUUUCAGAUCAGACUGAACUUCACUGCUCACAUCUCCAACAUGUGCUUUAAAAUUUGCAUCAUUUGGACUAUGAAACAGGAAUUUUCUCCAAAAUUUUGACCCAAUGGCAAGUGCUUCCUGGUUCCCACCCCUCAAUUCAGAGCCCCAUUUCCUGUGUAUGUUAUACUGUAUUUAAACUUGGGAUAAGAAUAAAUAUAAUUUCUUUAUGCUAGUAUUUUGGGUAUGAUUUGAAGCGUGGGUGAGUAGGAUUUCAUGUGUGAUGUUUCCUAAUGAAAGAUUGUCGACAUCUUUAGGGUUGUGGUGAAAAAAGAAGGGUGGAGAAACAUAAGGCCAUUUGACAGGGAGAGGUGGCGAACUGGAAUUUGGUGUUUGUUUGAAACUUCCAUGAUUAGGAAUUGCAAUGUUAUCCCUUUCUUUGAGACUCUAUUUGGUAAUGGUAUGUAGUGGGGUGAAGUCAAUGGUGUUUACACAGAACUUUUAGGUUUGGAAUUUAUCCAUUGGUGACAAAAUAAAACUUUCUGCCACCCAAAUUAUACCCUCAAACAGUUGGCUUUCUUUGUAUGUCUGGUGGCCUUCGACAAGUGUUUGGCAUUGGAUUAAUGCAAGUUGUUGCAAAAUUGCUUCAGAAUUAUGGCUUUUGUCCUCUUUUUAGUUCUGAUGGUUGAUGCCAAAGUCAAAGAUUUGAGCUCCUCUCGAAGUUGGAAUAUAGAGAAGGUAUCAAGAAUAUUUGGAUGUUUGCUGAGGUGAUCAGCAUGCUAUUGUUGGAAAUUUCAGAAAGGAAAGAACUGGAGAAUUUUUUAGGACGUAGAAGUAUUUUGGUGAUAUUGAAGCUUUUGUUGGAGAAGAGUUUUUUCUUGUGUAGUAUGGAAAAGGGAGUUGCUGAUGAUGUUUCUUGGGAAGGAAAAUUUGAGAUCAUAGUUUUGAAUAUAGUGCUAUACAAAAUGAGAUUAGGGCAAGAAGCAAAACCUUUCUUAUCUACUCUUAGUGGACAUUUCUUUGUGAUGCUUUUUGCUUAAUUCGUUUUCUUUUAAUCUCGCAAUUACUGGAAUCAUAUUUCUUACAAAUUGCCAUUAUACGGACAUCGUUCAGUUUUAUUCAAAAUUUCCCCUCUUCUCUUCUCAGUUUCAUGUUUUGGGCAUUGCACCAGCUCUUUUGUGGUCCAUUCUUUACCUGUCUAUUGUACUUAUCAAUGUCUCUCCUUCAUCGAUUUUCCCUCAGGUUGAAGGAACACCUGAAAGGCCAAGGCUGUGUGUCUUUCGUUCCAACAAGCAUCUCUAUGUCCAGGUGAUCGAUGACAGUAAGAUGCACACUUUAGCCUCAGCUUCAACAAUGCAGAAAUCCAUCUCUGAGGAGCUUGACUACAGUUCCAGUCCGACUAUUGUAAGUUCACAGAUAAGAAUAAAAGAUCAGCCGAUUCUAGAGGAGUUGCUUUUAGAGUGAGGUUUAACCAUCAUAGUGACUGCCCCAACUGCCUCAGCACUAAGUUUGUUGCAGUUGCAGUGCUCAGGUUGUAGAAGGACAUACAAUAAAUAUACAGUUUUUUCAUUGUUAAAGGGUCAUUUAUCUGGGCCAAAUGGAAUUUUCUUUUUACAAUGGGAUCCUAAUGCUUUUAGUAGAUGGUCACUGAAUGUAAAACUAAGUUUCUCAUCCAACUCUAUGAUCUUUCUACUUAUCAAUCUCUAUCUAUUUAGCCGGUUUUUUUAGCUAUCAGUAAGCCAUCUUUUAGGAUCAUUGAUUGUGCAUUCCUUUUGUUUCUUGCAUUCAAGGCUUGUGUGAGCCUUAUUGCUGUGUAUCAUCUGUUUUACUCUGGACACCCAGUUUGAUGAUUUGUUUCUUAUAUGAUGAAGCCUUUGAAUUUGAUAAUUUGAACAGAAUUACUGAUCUUUGCAAGCUUUUGGCACCAGGAAGUGGCAAAGAAGGUGGGGGAGGUGAUUGCAAGUGCCUGCUUGGAGAAAGGGAUUACAAAGGUGGCCUUUGAUCGAGGUGGAUACCCAUACCAUGGACGCGUUAAAGCCCUUGCUGAUGCAGCUCGCGAAAAGGGU
rnacentral:lncRNA from 1 species